GGUAAAAGUUAAAUAAAAAAAGAAAGAAAAGCAAAGGGAAGGGGAAUACUUAAGUGGUCAUCCUUGUUGACCCUAGAGAAAUAGAAAUGAGAAUUGAAGUCCUUAAAGGCAUCACCAUCUCUUCAUUUUCUUCAAAUCUCAGGCAACAUCAACUCAAUCCGGCGAAACCACGAUUUCAGCGGCGGUUUGCGGUGGUUCUUGACUGAGAACGCUCCCAACAGCAUGGGAUCCUCAUCCCGGCGCAGUGUACCAAAAGGGAAUCAAAUCCCUAAAUUAUCUCCUUCAUCCUCUUCUUUUCCGGCAGCGGCGGCAACAAAAGGGACGACGGCAAGUCACUGGUAAUCCGGCGGCUACAUCUCUUCUCCUCUAUCUCGUUUCUCCUUAGCGACGGUGGUGCUCUCUCUGGUGACGGUUUCGGUAGCGACGACAACGCCAGGCAGUAGCGGAGGUUGUGACGAAAGGCAGCGACGACGACUAGGAAAGCCACUAAUGGCGAUGAUGGCGAGUUAUCUUUCUCCAAUUAUGUUAUGCGACCCUUGAUGCGGUGAUUUCCAACCUGAAUUGAAUCUAAACCGUGAAGGUGGAAGGAAGCUACCCCAAUCGAACUCGCUCGGCAAGAACCACCCAUUGUAAUGGUAGUUCGAAAGUUCUCAUACGAAUCCUCAAGAAGAGUCUUGCCAUAUCACCAUAUGCAAUGA